CGGUCACUGUAGCAGUUUUGAGUCAACGCCGAUAUUUUCCGAUUCCGGCAGUCUCCGGCCACCAAACUGGCAUCGAAGGGUUCUUGGAAUUUCUGGAAAUUUUUCAGCGGCCAAAUUGGAGCUCUUCCAGGGCAAUGCCGCGAGCUACGGUUAAAUGAAGGAACUCGUUUGCGUGGUCGCCCAAUAGUACUUUUGCAGGCGAAAUUAGUUGAGGUCGGGCGUACAUUGGAGUUGAGGCAUAGUCAACAGCAUGGCUUCCGCGGUUGCCUUUGAGUUAGGUUGUCCUUAUUUACCUUUCUAUUAGAAUUGCUCUGAUUACCUAUGGGAUUUAUGUUUUUCAAGUUGAGGUUUGUGUUUUGUGAAUUGGAGAUUGGUGUUGAGUUGGGGAGCAGGGUGGCUCCAGAAGUAUAAGGAUGAUUUGAUUUAGAA